ACGAACGCUGGCGGCGUGCUUAACCCAUGCAAGUCGAACGGAAAGGCCCUGCUUUUGUGGGGUGCUCGAGUGGCGAACGGGUGAGUAACACGUGAGUAACCUGCCCUUGACUUUGGGAUAACUUCAGGAAACUGGGGCUAAUACCGGAUAGGAGCUCCUGCUGCAUGGUGGGGGUUGGAAAGUUUCGGCGGUUGGGGAUGGACUCGCGGCUUAUCAGCUUGUUGGUGGGGUAGUGGCUUACCAAGGCUUUGACGGGUAGCCGGCCUGAGAGGGUGACCGGCCACCUUGGGCCUGAGAUACGGCCCAGACUCCUACGGGAGGCAGCAGUGGGGAAUAUUGCACAAUGGGCGGAAGCCUGAUGCAGCAACGCCGCGUGCGGGAUGACGGCCUUCGGGUUGUAAACCGCUUUCGCCUGUGACGAAGCGUGAGUGACGGUAAUGGGUAAAGAAGCACCGGCUAACUACGUG
rnacentral:rRNA from 1 species